UACGUAGGGUGCGAGCGUUAAUCGGAAUUACUGGGCGUAAAGCGUGCGCAGGCGGUUCGUCGUGUCCGAUGUGAAAGCCCCGGGCUCAACCUGGGAAUGGCAUUGGAAACUGGCGGACUCGAGUGUGGCAGAGGGGGGUGGAAUUCCGCGUGUAGCAGUGAAAUGCGUAGAGAUGCGGAGGAACACCGAUGGCGAAGGCGGCUCACUGGCCCGAUACUGACGCUGAGGCACGAAAGCGUGGGGAGCAAACAGG
rnacentral:rRNA from 1 species